UUUUCCAUGAUUCGCCAUCUCAGUUAUUUCGCUUGUGCCUUCCUCGCCCUCUCCCGUUCUUUCCUCCUGUUCAAUCAAUAUUUCCAAUGAAGCUCGGGCGUGGAAUUGCGAUGGAAACCGGCUUGAAUACCGCGGGAGGAAAGUAGGACAACUUCGAUCUCAAAAAAUUCGGACGCCAUGAGACGAUCUGUCUAUGAGUUGAAGAAAAUUGGGAGGUGGACAUGCAGGUACUAUAUAUUGGGUGUGUUCGGUGCGACGGGAAACAAGAUCACUGACGCUUGAAACAGCUAUCGUCAAUUAAUGUGACAUUCUUGGGUAACUAAAAUGACGGCUCAAGGUGACAUGAGUAGAGCAGAAACUCUGAACAUCGACGAGUUGGAGAAUUUGAUGGCAAGGAAGCUAACUUAUUAUAGAUCAAUUUACAAAGAUCACAACCAGCGAAGAAAAUUGUGCAUAAUUUUCCGAGUUCCGAAACAUAUUAAGCAAGUUGACAAGUUAUCUUACGAACCAAAAGUUAUGUCCAUAGGUCCUUAUUACCAUGGAAAUUUUCCCUGCAGUUUAUGGAGAAAGUAAAAUGGAACUGCUUAGAUUAUGUUCUCAAACAGAACAGCGGAAAAAAGUUAGAGGCCUAUCUAACAAUUAUGGAGAGUCUUGAGAAGCAGGCAAGGAGUUGUUAUUCUGAGGAAGUUUCUCUGGAAAGUGACAUGUUCCUGCGAAUGCUCCUGCUUGAAGGAUGCUUUGUACUUGUUUAUCUUGGUGGCACGAACGGCUUAAAUUGGUGCGUUAAUGAACAGAAUGCAAGUGGUAGUAAUUAUCAGGGGGGAGAACCACUUCAAUACACAAUAGCACAACCAGAGGAGAUUACCGAGCAUGCAUCAAAUAAGGGAACAAGUACUGAAAGUAUGAGAUUGAUUACUGGGACAUCAUCCGAUUUAUGUUCAGCAGAAGGUGUGGAACUUGAGCAUAUUAGUACAGGUGAACAAUGCUACGAUCAGAAGGAUCCUGACCAACCCAAAUGUGACCCAAUUUCUGAAUGGCAUCACGCCCAUGCCUUUCGCGACCUACUUCUUGUUGAGAACCAAUUACCAUUUUCCAUUGUGAAGAGAAUAUAUGGGUUACUUGUUGGAGAAGAUGUUGUAGAUCUACUUGCUGAAAAGGUCCGUAAAUAUUUAGAACUCAAUAUUCAGAAGUACACGACAGUUGCUCGUAAUUUUGAUGGGAAAACAGACUUCCACCACUUGCUCCAUUUGUGUCAUAUGUACUUCCGACCUCAACAAAGGAUUCAACCAGAGCAAAAUUUUCAAAUUAGAAACCGAUGGUUGCGUCCUCUCACAACUUUGUGGCACACAUAUUACAAAAGAAGUUAUUUUGAAGAGUUGUCUAUCAAUCAGCAGGCAGCAUCUCAUAUAAGUUCUUGUCAGACACUGAAUCGAUGGUGAUGAGCGGAACAGUAUCAUGAAGCUGGAAUUGAGUUUAAGAGCAAAGAGCACAACAAACAUAACCCGCCUUCUCUUCUGGACAUAACUUUUGACAAGGGUGAGGUGGAAAUUCCAUGCUUGCUUAUUGAUGAAAAUACCAUUUGCCUCUUCAGGAACUUGGUUGCAUUUGAGCAAACAUGCUCGCAGCUUGGAAAUGAUGUCACUUCCUAUAUCACUUUUAUUACCCAGCUUGUUAGUACACCCUGUGAUGUUGCACUGCUUGCUCGCAAAGGAAUAAUCCUGCACCACAUGCGUACCGAUGAAGAAGUGUCAACUCUUUUCAGUAAGCUGGGUAAGAAUGUGGACUUUGAUCAGAAUGGUGUGCACUAUCUUAAAUCCGUUUGCCGUAUGAUGGAAGAGUAUUAUCGGAAUCGCGUAAACAGAUGGAUGGCCUGGUUGUGGCAUAACCAUCUCAAAACUCCAUUGUUGGUUUUAGCGGUAGUAGUAGCAGCAAUCGUUCUUCUCUGCACCAUUAUCCAAUCAUUGUUAUCCUUGCUUGCGUAUUUGGAUCAGACAACGGGUACUAAUUAGGCAACUAGCUAGGUUCCACACAAUUUGUAAACAUUGGGUUGGACACCAACGUACUCCUUAAGGCAUAAAAACAGUGGACACCCUGACGAACUGGGCACAUGCCACGAUGAAUAUUGGUGAUGUUUUAUUUUGAUCAUCGGCGAUUAGCGAUGCAAUAGUGAGCAUUGAGGGAGAGAGAAGGAGGCGAUGGCUCCCCUCCGGUGGCACCACAAGGGUCCUGUAUGCCAAUAUGAACUCGAGACUGACCACUUCACUAUGGAGUUCAUUCAUGGGAUAGGAGGCAAUAGGUCCUACGUUAGUGGAAGGAAGGUUUGGUGUAAUUGCAGUGAGGCUGACGUACAUGUAUGACCAUGUUUAAUGAUUUAUUUGAGACAUUGGGUUUUGAAAGCGAGGGAAGUAUUAACACAUACUUGUUGCUACCUGCUAUUAACAUAAUUGAGACUUUGGCUAAAUCUUGGCAUCAUAUGACCAGGAGAAGGAGGGCCUGGUACUUGUGGUUGAAUCGUACCUGAGGUAGAUCCAUAGAUGGGCACUGCUGGUGGAAUCACACGUAGUGGAAGCAACUUACCAAUUCUACAGGAAACAUCGACGAUGGAGCACAUUUCAGGGUUCAUCCAAAGAUUAAGGGACCAGAACACACAAGAACAUAAGAAGGGCGUUGGAAUAGAAAAGAAGUAAUCUCUUUGUUUUCAUGGCACUCACCAAGAGCACUACAACACGAUCGACGAUUGUGUGCUCAAUGGUUGUUGCUUUCGUGGUGCUUGCUAUUAUAUGUUCUACCAUGCCAUCCUGCC